rnacentral:lncRNA from 1 species
AGUUGAUUCCGGCAACAACAACUACAUUCAAACUAUUAGUCGGAGCAACUUCCCGCCCUACGGAAAGGAUCUCCCCGACCACAUUGCCACCGGAAGGUUUACCAACGGCAAGCUCGUCACCGACUUUUUGGGUGCGUACUCUAUUAUCCUGCAUUUCACUCGUAUAUAUAGUAACACAUAUGCAAAAUGACUAAAUGCAGCUUUGUUGAUAAGACAUUUUUCCGAAUUAGUAUUUUGUAUAUUAAGUGUGGUAAGUGAAAAAUUGAAAAGGUAAAUUAAAAAAAAAAACUUUUGCCAUAUAAAGAAAGUGUUCAAGUUUCGCAAGACAGCUCGAAAAGAAAUACUGCUCAAGAUUCGUGGGACGGAGUGAGUACUUAUUUUUUAAUUAACUUGUAAUGUUAAACUUUUUUGAACAAGAGUACUUUGUUUUAUAGAAAGUUAAAAGAUACUCAGUUGUGUAUGCGAGUGAUUAUUGAGAAUGUGAUUGCGAGUGAUUAAGUUACUACACCAUUAUAUUUAGUAAUUGUUGACUUGUCAAAGUCUGGAUUUUACAAAAAAGUACACACAUUUUUACCAACAAUACGGAUCUUAGAACUAAUCAAGUAAAAAAUUAAUUUUUUUUACGUGCAUAUGUAAGUAUGUAACAAAAUGUGCUUUAUAAAAUUUAGUGUGUUAUAUACAUGAUAUUGAUAUGGGUUUAUAUACGUAAAUAAAUUAACUUGGUUUAUUAAACCCAAAAGAAAAUCUGGCUUUGGAAAGGCGAUGAGAAUCAAGACAAAUUUGAAUUAUAUAUCUAUAAAAAGUACUUGUAGAAGUAUAGGAAAAGUCCCUUUCAUCUUAUUUGUGGCAAAACAAGCAUCUUUAAUUUGUAGCAAAAAAAAACAUCUCUAUUAUUUGUAGCAAGCUGUUUGCUUUUAAUAUGUGUGUGCCUAUAUAUAUAUGUGUGUACGGUUGAGAUCUAGUGAGAACUACAGAUAAAUAAAUCCAUGAAAUUUAUGAAUAAAUCGAUGAAAUUCAUGAACAAAUAAUGCGAUUGUUCAUGUGUUACAUUAAUUUAUUCUUGUGUUCCUAUUUUUCACGAAAAAUAGUUAUUUUCACUAAAUCGUAUGAGAAAGUAUCCUAUGGCUGAUAACUUGGUGCUGCAUUUUUUUUAAUGUAUCCUAUGGCUGAUAGCCCUAUAUAUAUAUAUCAACAACUUUCAAACAUUACAAACAAAAAAAAAAGAAUUAAAUACUAGAUGCUGCAAUUUGUGAGGUGUUUGUGGAGUUUAGUUUAUACAUGAAUUAAUAAAUGAUUUAGCAAAAAUGUGAAACAGCUUCUUAUGCGGGGAUCAAAGAAAUGAUACCACCCUACUUAGACCCCACGCUUACCGUUGACGACCUCAAGACCGGAGUCUGUUUUGCUUCUGCUGGCACUGGCUUCGACCCCCUUACUGCCCAACUCAAUGUCUCUCUCUCUCUCUCUCUCUCACACACACACACACACUUAAUUGGUGGAUUUGUGAAUUUUGG